UGCAAACUCCCAGGAGUCCUGUAGCAUGUGUCCCUCAGCCACCACCUCCAAAAGCGGCCACUAUGGCUGGUCCGGAGGCGGGGGCACCCGCACAUGCACGCGACUCCGCGGGAUCCCGUGGUCCUGGUACGCACGCCCCGCGUAAACCGGCAGUGACGGGUACCCAAAAGAGCCUAGGGUGUCCCACAGUACAGCUGGGAAACCCUCGUAGUGAA
rnacentral:lncRNA from 1 species